CUGGCGACCUGUCCAGGGUGUACCCCGCCUUCGCCCAUCAGUGGCCGGGAUAGGCUCCGGCACCCCCGCGACCCCGAAAGGGAAGAAGCGGUCAAGAAAAUGGAUGGAUGGAUGGAUUCUUACUUCCUAAGUCUUCUGACCCUGGCCUGGAUUUCCCUGCUGCCCUCAAUCUCCAUAUUGGCAUCCCCAAAGUCAACUCACCUGCAGGUUGUACCUACACCUGUACUUUGUUCCCUCCAUUUGAGUUAAAAUAACUCUCGUGUUUUUGUUACAGACUCCCCUGUGCAUCACCUCACAGGGCCUCACACCACCUUGAGCUUCAAUAAACCGUGUAUAUCUAA